AAAAUUUAAGGCAACACGAGUUGCAGACCAACAGCAGAUAUGCUUCUUCUAAGGUUACAAAGGAUUUCGGAAAGAUUGUUCCAGUUCAAUCUAUUCAGUGCAUUAUGUGAUACCGUCUGUUGCAAAUGAGGAUUUGAAAUCUUUUUUCGAAGAGGAAACAGGUCAAUCGGAGAACUAUAUUUAUAAAGUGAUGGUGAAGGAGGCAAUGAUAACAAUAAUGCAGGAGGCCAUAGGUGACGAAUAUGAAAAUGUGGACGUGGAGCUGCGGAAAACAGAGGGGAAAACUACAAAUAAAUCCAAUUCACUUCUGUUGAAUUAUAUCAUGAACGACAGAGAAAAGUACAUCCAAUUACACAAGAGGAAUUAAUGCAUGAUCUGCUCCAUUACAAGUUAUUUGUGACACUAUAUUGAUCUGAAUUCAUACGACUAGAGGUCGUUAAAGUCAAGUACCCAGGACUUUUAUUUCCCUGCUGUAACAAUUGCUCUACAUUGUCUAAUAUGUUGAAAGAUUUAUUUCACGUGACCAUGCAGUUGAAAGAUGUUACACCAUAUGUUCUUCAUGAUUGUGCGUGAUCAUGCAAGUGUGUUGAUUGGAAAUAAGUUAUUGCAGAAUUAUAUUCCCUCAUUUCAAGUGCACCAUUUAACUACUGCAUGGACUGUCGUGACAAUUUGCAUGGGUGUUCCUUGGAUUAAAUUCAUAUUCAAAUAAAUGUUUAGAAUUGGAUAUGAUUGUAACUUUUCUGCACGGCUGAUAUUAAUAUAAAGUUUUUUAUAUGUA
rnacentral:lncRNA from 1 species